rnacentral:rRNA from 1 species
GACGUAGGGCGCGAGCGUUGUCCGGAUUUAUUGGGCGUAAAGAGCUCGUAGGCGGCUUGUCGCGUCGUCCGUGAAAACCUGCAGCUCAACUGCAGGCUUGCGGUCGAUACGGGCAGGCUAGAGUUCGGUAGGGGAGACUGGAAUUCCUGGUGUAGCGGUGAAAUGCGCAGAUAUCAGGAGGAACACCGGUGGCGAAGGCGGGUCUCUGGGCCGAUACUGACGCU